UGGCGGCAACAUCACGUUGAAACACAAGUUCUCGUAAGAUCACCGAAAUUAAGCAACGCCGAGCAUGGUCAGUACCUAAAUGGGUUACCACUUAGGAAUACCAGGUGUUGUAAG